CAACCACAGUGCCACGCGCGCUCGGGAGCGCGCCCUGGCGCGCACUGCAUCCUGCUCCUGAGGAGAGGACCCACGAGACCAGGGGCGCUCCUCUAUGCCUCCUGUGCUGGAGAUUGUUCCUCCUCUAUGAGUUGUUUUUUUUGUUUUUUGGCUUUUGGAUUUUGGAUUUUUUUUUUUAAAGAAACGCGCUCUUUAAUUCAAUGUCAUAUCUGCUUCUUCCUCUCAAUUAAGGGUUCUCUGAGAUGCUCCGCCACAAGUGGAACACAUGGGAUGUGGCCCCUUUCUCCCCCAUAAGGGGGGUUGGGGUACAAGGGGUCCUCGUGGCGCUGGAGCCGAAGAUUGCCCGCUUCCUAAUCCUAGGCUGGGUCGGUGGCGUUGGCAAGGUGGGCACCCAGUCCCGAUUCCUGUGAGAUCGUAGACCAAUCAGAAAGCAGCUACCCUGCCCUAGCCCAACACGGGGACCUCUGGAGAAGAACAGCGCUGGAGCUCCAAAAGGAUAGCCUUGAAGAAUGAAGUCAACCGAGCAAACAGUCCCAACUUCAUCAGGAAAGGAACUCUCACAUCACACAGGGAAAGAGAACCUUCUAGAGAUGGCUGCUGAAAGAAACCUUCAAAACUCGAAAUCUGUCAAGCCUUCAACACCCUUCCUACACUGAGGACAUGGAGGAACAUCGUAGCAAAACUCUUCAGGGUCAGACUCAGCCCAGGGACAGGCAUGACUGAGUAAGCAAAUAACAUAUACAUUGAACCAAAAAAAAUGAUACAAAUGUUGUGUACUUCUAUCGUAGUAAUGGUGGUGUGAUGAUGGUGGUGUGAUGA